rnacentral:rRNA from 1 species
CCCUUAGACGUUCUGGGCCGCACGCGCGCUACACUGACGAAGGCAACGAGCUUUCCUUUACCGAAAGGUACGGGUAAUCUUUUGAAACUUCGUCGUGCUGGGGAUAGAUCCUUGCAAUUUUUGAUCUUAAACGAGGAAUGCCUAGUAAGCGCAAGUCAUCAACUUGCGUUGAUUACGUCCCUGCCCUUUGUACACACCGCCCGUCGCUCCUACCGAUUGAAUGCUCAGGUGAGCCAUUCGGACUUUCAUCAUGCUGGUUUCCAGUUUUGAUGAAGGAAAGUCUUGCGAACCUUAUCAUUUAGAGGAAGGAGAAGUCGUAACA